rnacentral:rRNA from 1 species
GACGAACGCUGGCGGCGUGCCUAAUACAUGCAAGUCGAGCGAAUCACUAGGAGCUUGCUCCUGGUGGUUAGCGGCGGACGGGUGAGUAACACGUGGGCAACCUGCCUGUAAGACUGGGAUAACACCGGGAAACCGGUGCUAAUACCGGAUAAUCCUUUUCCUCUCAUGAGGAAAAGCUGAAAGUCGGUUUCGGCUGACACUUACAGAUGGGCCCGCGGCGCAUUAGCUAGUUGGUGAGGUAACGGCUCACCAAGGCGACGAUGCGUAGCCGACCUGAGAGGGUGAUCGGCCACACUGGGACUGAGACACGGCCCAGACUCCUACGGGAGGCAGCAGUAGGGAAUCUUCCACAAUGGACGAAAGUCUGAUGGAGCAACGCCGCGUGAGCGAUGAAGGCCUUCGGGUCGUAAAGCUCUGUUGUUAGGGAAGAACAAGUACCGGAGUAACUGCCGGUACCUUGACGGUACCUAACCAGAAAGCCACGGCUAACUACGUGCCAGCCGCCGCCGUAAAAC